GUGGGGAAUAUUGGACAAUGGGCGAAAGCCUGAUCCAGCAAUGCCGCGUGUGUGAAGAAGGCCUGCGGGUUGUAAAGCACUUUCAGUAGGGAAGAAAAGCCUGAGGUUAAUAGCCUCGGAUCUUGACGUUACCUACAGAAGAAGCACCGGCUAACUCCGUGCCAGCAGCCGCGGUAAUACGGAGGGUGCGAGCGUUAAUCGGAAUUACUGGGCGUAAAGCGCGCGUAGGCGGCUUGGUAAGUCGGAUGUGAAAGCCCUGGGCUUAACCUGGGAAUUGCAUUCGAUACUGUCAGACUAGAGUCUGGGAGAGGGAUGCGGAAUUCCGGGUGUAGCGGUGAAAUGCGUAGAUAUCCGGAGGAACACCAGUGGCGAAGGCGGCAUCCUGGCCUAAGACUGACGCUGAGGCGCGAAAGCGUGGGGAGCAAACAGGAUUAGAAACCCGAGUAGUCC
rnacentral:rRNA from 1 species